rnacentral:rRNA from 1 species
GACGAACCGUGCGAACGUUAUUCGGAAUCACUGGGCUUAAAGCGCGUGUAGGCGGGCCGCCACGUCGGGCGCUGAAAUCCCCCGGCUCAACCGGGGAACGGGCACCGAUACGAGCGGCCUGGAGGGGAGUAGGGGGACCUGGAACUUCCGGUGGAGCGGUGAAAUGCGCAGAUAUCAGGAGGAACACCGGUGGCGAAGGCGGGUCUCUGGGCCGAUACUGACGCUGAGGAGCGAAAGCGUGGGGAGCGAACAGG